rnacentral:rRNA from 1 species
AAACCAGCACCUCAAGUGGUCAGGAUGAUUAUUGGGCCUAAAGCAUCCGUAGCCUGCUCUGUAAGUUUUCGGUUAAAUCUGUAUGCUCAACAUACAGGCCGCCGGGAAUACUGCAGGACUAGGGAGUGGGAGAGGUAGACGGUACUCGGGAGGAAGGGGUAAAAUCCUUUGAUCUAUUGAGGACCACCUGUGGCGAAGGCGGUCUACCAGAACACGUCCGACGGUGAGGGAUGAAAGCUGGGGGAGCAAACCGGAUUAGAAACCCGAGUAGUCC